CGGUUCUCAGAUGGCGCAUCGAUCGGUAGAUUUGUCGGGUGGGUGGGGAGGUGUUCAGAGCUUUUCGAAUUGAUAAUGAUAAAUCUUAGUCCCGGACAAAGGAGUCACUGUCAACGAUGAAUACUACUACUGAAGUCAAAGUCUGCCUCCUUGGAGACUCCGGUGUUGGGAAAUCUAGCAUCCUGCAGCGGUUUGUGUACAAUACGUUUAAUUCCAGCGCGGAGAGCACUAUAGGGGCAUCAUUUAUGAUGAAAAACCUGGUGUUGCAUGACCGUACAUUCAAAUUUAAUAUUUGGGACACUGCUGGCCAAGAAAGGUAUCGAGCUUUGGCUCCAAUGUACUACCGAGGUGCUGGGGCUGCUGUCAUUGUUUAUGACAUCACAUCUAUGGAGAGUUUCAAUGCAGUGCAGAGUUGGGUGCGAGAGUUACAGCUUCAUGGGGACCCAAACAUUGCCCUUGGUAUAGCAGGCAACAAGUGCGACUUGGAGGAUCAUCGAGAAGUGAGUUUAGCAACUGGAGAGUCAUAUGCCCACCAGCAUGGCGCAGUUUUUGUUGAGACUAGUGCUCUUAAGGCCACUAAUAUCCAGGAACUUUUCAUGGGAAUUGCCAUGAAGGUGCCCGUAACCCAAGGAGUACGGCAACCAGAACUGAAGCUUAGCCUCAAAAAGAAUGUGAGCAAGAAGUGCUGCUGAAGUUGAGGAUUGAAGCCACGCAUCUUGGUGCAGAGACAUAAGGAACAAAUGGGCCUUGGUUGCCGAAUGGCCCAUUGCCUUGCUCCUUGUGCUUGAAGCUUGCCACAAGCCUCGUGCAUUCUGAGUCACGAGGCUGAACAUGUCCACGCUGUUGGAAGUUUAACGCACAUUUUGGCCAUUGUUCUUGGUGAUGUUCCAUUUUUGUGCUGUGAUGUGCUUUUUAUUUAGUGCUGCAACUGUACAUCUUUCGUCUUUCACCUGAACCUUUUGUAAAAUAUGAUACUUGUAGUAUCAAAAACAGCUAACACUUUGUUUACACGACCUUUCUGUUACUCAGAUCUGGAAAGGUGCUGUAUCUGGUUUCGCACAGCCUUGUAAAGGAUAUGCACAAGGGGCCAUAUGUCAUAAGCACUGCCGUGAGAAAUUAUUCACUUUGCUGUAAUUAGCACCAGUCAUAGGUCUGUUUUUCUUAGACAUGGAGGGCACACUGUAUACUAUCUUUGGGGACACCCCAGAGAAAUAAAAUACUUUAGAAUGGAAACACCUGGAGGUCUUGCUUCUGGGUAGGCUACUUUCUCAAAAGUUAAAUAUUUUGAAAUUAUUUUACGCCUGUGGUAAGCAGUGCUUUCCCAUGUCUGGAAUUCAGUCACUGCAGUGAACUGCCAACUUACAUGUUGGCUGUAUACUGGUGUACAGAACUUCAUUUUUUAGACGUAUAUUUGAUAUGUGUGAAAAGCAAAGUAAAUAUCAGUGAACACUGUUUCACUGUGUUGCAGUAGCAUACUGCAGUUUGCUCACACCAUUCUAUGGUUUUGUUUUAGCUUAGACAAUACAUUAGCUUUAUUUUUAUUUAUAAAUGUGUUUAAUGCCUGUAUUUAAUGAAAAUAUUUUUAUAUAGUAAAUCACUUUACUUGUA
rnacentral:misc_RNA from 1 species